rnacentral:rRNA from 1 species
UACGAAGGGUGCAAGCGUUAGUCGGAAUUACUGGGCGUAAAGCGUGCGUAGGCGGUUUCCUAAGUCGGAUGUGAAAGCCCUGGGCUCAACCUGGGAAUGGCACUCGAUACUGGGAAGCUGGAGUGCGGUAGAGGAGGGUGGAAUUCCCGGUGUAGCGGUGAAAUGCGCAGAUAUCAGGAGGAACACCGGUGGCGAAGGCGGGUCUCUGGGCCGAUACUGACGCUGAGGAGCGAAAGCGUGGGGAGCGAACAGG